rnacentral:tRNA from 1 species
UAGCUCAGUUGGUAGAGCAUGGUGUUUGCAACGCCAGGGGUUGUGGGUAAGAUUCCCAC